GAGAAAAAUUUUAUUCGAUAUCAGGGUGGAUAUUGUGUACGCUUAUUACUCUAUGUUCGAAGUUAACGCCGAGCCAUGUAGACAUUUGAUCGCAGUCUCAAUGGCAAUCAUACCACUCGUGACGCUUUUACUUUUCAAGUUUGGAGGUGCUCUCGGGUUGAUGGUGGUAACGAAUACCCUAAGUAAUUCACGACCACGCCUCGGCGAAACGAUAACGCUCAACUGUACUGUGUCGGGUGGAGCCGGCAGUGUUCUUGGGUGGUACAUGUUCGCACAUGAUACGAAAGAAACAAUAUAUUUGUCGAACGAUUGUUCCGUUGUUGCAAAGGAGUAUAAAUCAAGAUUAACAAACACUAAAUGUGAUUCGAGUGAUGAUAACUAUAAUCACAUUUUUCAAUUAAGUAAUGUUCAAAUUUCGGACCGAGGGUUGUGGUACUGUCAAGCCGUUGUCAAUAUCAACUGGGCUCGAUCACGUAAGCUUGAAUUGACUGUUUUAGUUCCACCCCUCACCCCGACAGUCACAAAUCCAUCGCCAGUCAAAGUUGGAAAAACUGCAAAUCUCACCUGCAAUGCCGAAAA